ACAGAUGGUGUAAUGGUUAACAUUUCUGCCUCUCACGCAGGAGCUCGGGGUUCGAUUCCCCGUUUCGGA